GACGAACGCUGGCGGCAUGCCUAAUACAUGCAAGUCGAGCGAACAGAUGAAGUGCUUGCACUUCUGACGUUAGCGGCGAACGGGUGAGUAACACGUAAGGAAUCUACCUAUAAGCGGGGGAUAACAUUCGGAAACGGGUGCUAAUACCGCAUAAUAUCUUCUUCCGCAUGGAAGGAGAUUGAAAGACGGCUCUACUGUCACUUAUAGCUGACCUGGCGGUGCAUUAGUUAGUUGGUGGGGUAACGGCCUACCAAGACGAUGAUGCAUAGCCGACCUGAGAGGGUGAUCGGCCACAUUGGGACUGAGACACGGCCCAAACUCCUACGGGAGGCAGCAGUAGGGAAUCUUCCGCAAUGGGCGAAAGCCUGACGGAGCAAUGCCGCGUGAGUGAAGAAGGCCUUCGGGUCGUAAAACUCUGUUAUAAGAGAAGAACAAAUUGUAGAGUAACUGCUACAGUCUUGACGGUAUCUUAUCAGAAAGCCACGGCUAACUACGUGCCAUCAGCCGCGGUAA
rnacentral:rRNA from 1 species